rnacentral:rRNA from 1 species
UAGGGAAUCUUCGGCAAUGGACGAAAGUCUGACCGAGCAACGCCGCGUGAGUGAAGAAGGUUUUCGGAUCGUAAAACUCUGUUGUUAGAGAAGAACAAGGACGUUAGUAACUGAACGUCCCCUGACGGUAUCUAACCAGAAAGCCACGGCUAACUACGUGCCAGCAGCCGCGGUAAUACGUAGGUGGCAAGCGUUGUCCGGAUUUAUUGGGCGUAAAGAGAGCGCAGGCGGUUUCUUAAGUCUGAUGUGAAAGCCCCCGGCUCAACCGGGGAGGGUCAUUGGAAACUGGGAGACUUGAGUGCAGAAGAGGAGAGUGGAAUUCCAUGUGUAGCGGUGAAAUGCGUAGAUAUAUGGAGGAACACAAGUGGCGAAGGCGGCUCUCUGGUCUGUAACUGACGCUGAGGCUCGAAAGCGUGGGGAGCAAACAGG